rnacentral:rRNA from 1 species
CAAUAGCGUAUACUAAAGUUGUUGCGAUUAAAAAGCUCGUAGUUGGAUCUCAGGCAUGGGCGCACGGUCCGCCUCGCGGCGGUCACUGUGUGUUUUGUUUCCCAUCCUACGCUUCCCGGUUAUCAGCCCAUGGUGCUCUUCCCUGAGCGUUUUGGGUGGCCGGAACGUUUACUUUGAAGAAAUUAGAGUGUUCAAAGCAGGCACGUCGCCUGAAUAAUGGUGCAUGGAAUAAUGGAAUAGGACCUCGGUUCUAUUUUGCUGGUUUUCGGAACACGAGGUAAUGAUUAAGAGGGACAGACGGGGGCAUCCGUAUUGCGGUGUUAGAGGUGAAAUUCUUGGAUCAUCGCAAGACGAACAACUGCGAAAGCAUUUGCCAAGCAUGUUUUCAUUAG